CCUAGCGGCGGACGGGUGAGUAAUGCUUAGGAAUCUGCCUAUUAGUGGGGGACAACAUCUCGAAAGGGAUGCUAAUACCGCAUACGUCCUACGGGAGAAAGCAGGGGACCUUCGGGCCUUGCGCUAUCAGAUGAGCCUAGGUCGGAUUAGCUAGUUGGUGAGGUAAUGGCUCACCAAGGCGACGAUCCGUAACUGGUCUGAGAGGAUGACCAGCCACACUGGAACUGAGACACGGUCCAGACUCCUACGGGAGGCAGCAGUGGGGAAUAUUGGACAAUGGGCGAAAGCCUGAUCCAGCCAUGCCGCGUGUGUGAAGAAGGUCUUCGGAUUGUAAAGCACUUUAAGUUGGGAGGAAGGGCAUUAACCUAAUACGUUAGUGUUUUGACGUUACCGACAGAAUAAGCACCGGCUAACUCUGUGCCAGCAGCCGCGGUAAUACAGAGGGUGCAAGCGUUAAUCGGAAUUACUGGGCGUAAAGCGCGCGUAGGUGGUUUGUUAAGUUGGAUGUGAAAUCCCCGGGCUCAACCUGGGAACUGCAUUCAAAACUGACUGACUAGAGUAUGGUAGAGGGUGGUGGAAUUUCCUGUGUAGCGGUGAAAUGCGUAGAUAU
rnacentral:rRNA from 1 species